UGGGGAAUUUUGGACAAUGGGCGAAAGCCUGAUCCAGCAAUGCCGCGUGUGUGAAGAAGGCCUUCGGGUUGUAAAGCACUUUUGUCCGGAAAGAAAUCCUUGGCUCUAAUACAGUCGGGGGAUGACGGUACCGGAAGAAUAAGCACCGGCUAACUACGUGCCAGCAGCCGCGGUAAUACGUAGGGUGCAAGCGUUAAUCGGAAUUACUGGGCGUAAAGCGUGCGCAGGCGGUUUGCUAAGACCGAUGUGAAAUCCCCGGGCUCAACCUGGGAACUGCAUUGGUGACUGGCAGGCUAGAGUAUGGCAGAGGGGGGCAGAAUUCCACGUGUAGCAGCGAAAUGCGUAGAGAUGUGGAGGAAUACCGAUGGCGAAGGCAGCCCCCUGGGCCAAUACUGACGCUCAUGCACGAAAGCGUGGGGAGCAAACAGGAUUAGAUACCCUGGUAGUCCACGCCCUAAAACGAUGUCAACUAGUUGUUGGGGAUUCAUUUCCUUAGUAACGUAGCUAACGCGUGAAGUUGACCGCCUGGGGAGUACGGUCGCAAGAUUAAAACUCAAAGGAAUUGACGGGGUCAUAGCUGUUUCCU
rnacentral:rRNA from 1 species